UGGAGAGAAAGGAGAACGAGAGUGAAUAAUUGGAGAACCGACUGUGUAACGUGAUACCUACCCAGAGAGCUGUAAACAGCAGAGCCGGUGAGAAAUACUCGAAGUCCAAGUAACAGUGUCUUUGUGUCCUAGUGGCCGCCUGUGGAGAGAAAGGAGAACGAGAGUGAAUAAUUGGAGAACAGACUGUGUAACGUGAUACCUACCCAGAGGGCUGUAAACAGCAGAGCCGUGGCCGCCUGUGGAGAGAAAGGAGAACGAGAGUGAAUAAUUGGAGAACAGACUGUGUAACGUGAUACCUACCCAGAGAGCUGUAAACAGCAGAGCCGUGACCACCUGUGGGGAGCAAGGAGAACGAGGGUGAACGUACGACGGGGAACGUGAAGGCACGCGGGGCGAGGAUCCCCUGCCGAACAGAGGAAAGGUACGCAGACAGCGGAAAAUCCCCUUACCGGUCACACUGAAUUGGUUCUGCCUCCAGGAAGGAAGAAGGAGGGCGCCACGGUUAGCAGGGUCCAGGCCGGAGCCCGACGUUUUCCCUUUCCCCCGGAUUACGGUGGUUUGCACCCCUGUUGCCCUUGCCCCUGUCUGCCCGUGGCUGCAGUCCCCCUGGAGGGAGGAGAAGGAGCCCAUUAGUUUUAAUUUCCUCUUUCCCCAUUU